CAUGGCAACAAGCGUAUAAAAUAUGGCGGUUAGGGACAGUUAUUUUGGUUCUCAUUAACAUGAGGUUAACAACUUCUCGUUAUUGUGUUAUGUUGAUAGUACAAUUUGGCCUCUUAUUUGCUGAUAUUUCUGUGAACUGUUUCUCAGACUUCGCCCGUAAGAGCAGUGUAGUUCAGUUACUGCUUUUCAUAAUUCAAGAUGUUUGCUUAAUAUUUGCAUUGAUUUCACUGGUCCUCAGUUUCUUUUCUACAUAUGCUUUCCAGGCUGGUCUGCUUGAACUGCUGUAUGACCGAUUCCGAGCUACGAUUGUCAUCAGCAUAACAUACCUCAUCCUCACUAUCACCUUACAUAGCUGGUCGCUAAGUGAACGAUGGGAACAUCCCCUGGAGCACAUAUGGCCAGAUGGUCUAAUCUGGUUAUAUGUAACCCAGAGACUUUUGGCUGUGCUGUACUAUUACCUCUAUAAGCGCUCAAUGCUGCGAAUCAGUGACCCUCGUUUCUAUGAGGAUUUUGACUGGGUAAAACAUCAGCGUGGGGUGUCUUGAGACACAGAUUUAAGAAACAAAGAAGUGUUGGCAGAUUCCAACAUUGCAUGUCAAAAAUGACUUCAUCAAUAACUUCAGAUGAAUAAGGGGACACAGCAGACAGAAGGAUAAUUAUGCUGGGUAUUCCACCGUGCAGCAGUCAAUCAUAAAAUUUGGUAACAAUGGUUUCAGUGCUUGGACCCAAACAGUACAAAUACACAGGUAUAUGAAAAUAAAGCUGGCCAUAAUAUUGAUUUUAUUUUACAACAAACCUUUGGAAUGUCAAGAUGACAACACAGGGUAUCAAGAAUGAGUCUAUAUGUGAUAUAGUGCUAUGUACAUUAUCUUUCAGAUUCAUUGUAUUAAAUAAAAGCUCUAAUUUAUUAUAUACAGAAGUGUAUAAAACUUGCAUAAAUAUACAGUGUCACACAUU